UCUACACAUGAUGAUAAAGUUGUCAUAAUUUCUAGAUUAAAAAGAAACUGUAUGCUAAGCUGGGGCUGAAUGAGGACGGCCUCUGUCUCCUCAUAGACUUAUUUAAUCUUUAACUUGAAGUUGGAAAUUUUCCUGAGGUGUCUGUGCUAAUGUCCAUGUGACAUAACAAUUAGCACAAUGUCCUUUGUCCACAGGGCACUUGCUUUUGCCUGGCUCAUUGGGAACAACCCAAAACUUUAUGCACAGAGGACUCCAGAAAUGCAGACUGUUAAAAGUUGUCACCCCUCUGUGAAGAACAUGGAGCAAUGCUGAAAAUAUCAAUGCGACGAGAAUAGCAAAGCAGCAGACCAGGGCGAAGAUCACGAUGCACUUCUGCUGGGACUGAAGAGAAAGAAGGGGACACAUGUCUGAUUUCCUGCUAUGGCCUUGUUCCAUUCCUGCCUGUCACUAUGUAUUUCUUUUAUUCCACACUCAAAGAUGAAGAAGGUGAAGGUCAAAGGAAGACGCAUCAUUGUUCUUUCAUCCGAGACUCUGAUUAUCUUUAAGGGCAUCAAUUAUGUUUUGCUCUUUUUAUCCCUAAGCAAC